rnacentral:lncRNA from 1 species
AUACUACCUUGUAAUUGAGGAGUAUGUAAAAAUACUUCUUAUAGAAUGAAAUGCUUUUUAUUACUUGUUUGAGGUGUAUCUGUAGGAUCCUUAUUGCAUAUCUUUGAAUCUUUACAAACUUACAAGGUAUUCCCUUGAAGUUAAUUGGAUGUCACUGGUGUAAUACUCGAGGCCGAUGAGGGCGGGGAGUGGUCGUCGGUGCAUAAUGCAUAAC